rnacentral:lncRNA from 1 species
UUACUCUUAUUUAUCUAUUGUUUUCCUUACGGUUUCUUAAUAGAGCUAUAAGAUUCCUCUUGUCUUAUAAGUCUAAUUAUUUAACUUAUAAUAAAAUAACACAUGUUUAGGGUUUGCAGUUUAGUAUGCUUAAAUAUCCCCUUGGCCUACUGAACACAGGCUGAACUUCCCUUUUAACCGGGACGCGAGCGAGGGAUAUUCUGCUUCCUCUCACCACCUGGUAUAGUAUGGAACUCUUAACUUCUAAUCCGAUUUAAUAAGGCUGCUUAAGAGCUCUGGAGAGCUCUUUAGCACCUGCCUUGAUAGUCGGAAUCUCUUAAAACUAACAAUGAGUUAGACUCCUUUCGAGAAAAGAGGAAGUCUUAGGUAAGGCUUCCGAUUACACUCGAAAGACAAGCGAAGAGAAGGAUGUCAUGGGUAUGGCAUCCAAUUGCAAGCGAUAAGGGCGGCGGGGCUAAAGCGCACCCCCCCUUAGGGGGCCGGGGGGACGGAGCACGAAUAGCAUAACCAAACUCCCUUCGGUCUUCGACCUGCGGGGCUUAGCAUCCCCUCCGUUUCUCUUCCCUCCGGUCGACGCAAAAGCAACUCAAAAAGUCCCUUAAUUUCUAACUAGCUAAAAGUAGCUCUUGUUUUCCUUGAGUGAAGGAGUCCUUGGUAGGGCUCCUGAACGGGCUAAGAGAGUCUUGUUUUAAGUAGCGAACAUCAGUAGCUGCGAGCGUACACAUAAAGGGAGCAAGCAGCUACCAGAGUGAGCGUUUCAAGGGAGUGAGUUCUCCUUAGGAAGGAGGACGAACGGGUGGGGGCGGGUGAAGUUUAAGCCUACUUAUAUGCAAUCCUCAACUCAAAUGUUUGUAUUAAGAAUGAAGAAAAGAGCUCUACCAUGUUCUACCAGUAUGGAGCCGAGUUCUUCAACGCGUGCCUAACUACGCUACUUCCUAGAUAGUAAAGCAGCCGAUACUUUGGGCAACAAGAGAGACUUAUCCUGGGCUUUUAGUUCUGGACUCCUCUCUUGUUAAUCACAGCCGUCUCGUGCUUGUUCCUCGAGCUUAUUAAGCCGGAAGCCGGGUAGGGAAGCCCAUCUAACCUUUCGGACGACUUCCGGGGGUCAUGCCUCUUAGAAACAACCUUUCUGUGAUCAUCUAAGCUAAUAUGAGUUAGGAGUUCUUGUUCCUUUUUUUAGUUAACCCUGGGACUAAUAAUAGAAAAGAAGCUAUAAGCAGUGAGUGAUCCUUGGUAAGGAGCACGAACGAGAGCCUUCUUUACGUAUUGGAGUCUUGUAUACUAGUAUUAGUAUGAACGAGAUUAGUCAGAAGAAGAGAGAGUUUAUUCCUUUAAUGUCUUACAGUUUAUUAAGGAAGAAGUAGCUCUUCACCCCCCGAGGGGGAGAGCGAAGCGAGGGGGUAACGGUCCUUUCUACUCUUAUUAUAGUAUCUCU